AUGUCUUUAUAUAUACGACUAGCAAUUCAUAAUAUAUUGUACAUUUCUUAUUUCGUUCUAGCUAUGGAAAUACAAAAAUAUAUUUAUCUACUACUUGUUUGUGCAUUAGGUGUUCUAGCAAGUUUAGACUUUGGUUGUGGGAGCAUAACUAGAGGCUAUUUGCAUGGAAGUUGUAUCGAGAGUGAGAAACAAGCUUUAUUGAUCUUUAAAAAAGCUCUGAUCGACAACUCGAAUUACUUAUCUUCAUGGGUUGGAGAUGAUUGUUGUGCAUGGCAGGGGAUUGGUUGCGACAACAUAACCAAUCACGUCACGCGGCUUGAACUUCAAUAUGGUUUUUUGAGUGGGAAGGCGGUGUUGGAAGCAACAUUGUAGCAGAUGACCCUGCUUCCUGUUUACAUGAUGCAUAAAGGGCUCAAAUUCUUUAAGAAGCAAUUUCUAACCAUCAGAGCUGGUUUUUACCAGGCAAUUCGCAAACAACCACUGCUAAUUUUGAGAAGGUACUGCAUGGUUUUUACAUUUUGUUCUUGAGAAGAAGACUUGGCACUGUCAGAGUCAACUCUGGCUCCAUUAUUGUUUAGUGUUUGCAGACUUGCUGUGUUGCUUAACUGUUACGUUCUUGAUCUUGUUUUUUCUUCUUGUCGACGUAGAAAUCGUGACAAUGUUUGUCGUAA